rnacentral:lncRNA from 1 species
GGCUGUGCUUUCCAGAAAUGCGUGACCUAUCCAAUCCUUCCUCUCAUGGAAACACCAACUCAUCCAUGCCCUCUGUGCUGAAACUUCGUCUCAGCCUGCUGGAAUCACCUGCACCCCAUGGGAACUGUAGCCAUAUCUUCAGUCCUGUGAGCCCCCGUCAUGGCCUGUCACAGGAGUAAAUGAGGAGUAAGGCCCAGAAUACUCAGUACCUCUCAAUGACCCUCAGACGCUGUAGGAAGAGGAUUGGUUCACCUUUUAACCCAGAAUUUCUCACAUUGAAUGGACAGGAUGCAUUCCAAGAGGCCAGAGUAUGUGCAUCUCAGCUCCUGAUGGUUUCCACCACCACCAUUACUUUCUCUAUGUCAAGAUACCUGGGAAGCCGGGUGAGUAUACCUAAGCUUCCUUGGUAAGUAAACUAUCUGGAGUAAGAUUUCAUCCAGACCAUGGGGAGAC